rnacentral:rRNA from 1 species
GACGAACGCUGGCGGCGUGCUUAACACAUGCAAGUCGAACGGAAAGGCCCUGCUUUUGUGGGGUGCUCGAGUGGCGAACGGGUGAUUAACACGUGAGUAACCUGCCCUUGACUUUGGGAUAACUUCAGGAAACUGGGGCUAAUACCGGAUAGGAGCUCCUGCUGCAUGGUGGGGGUUGGAAAGUUUCGGCGGUUGGGGAUGGACUCGCGGCUUACCAGCUUGUUGGUGGGGUAGUGGCUUACCAAGGCUUUGACGGGUAGCCGGCCUGAGAGGGUGACCGGCCACAUUGGGACUGCGAUACGGCCCAGACUCCUACGGGAGGCAGCAGUGGGGAAUAUUGCACAAUGGGCGGAAGCCUGAUGCAGCAGCGCCGCGUGCGGGAUGACGGCCUUCGGGUUGUAAACCGCUUUCGCCUGUGACGAAGCGUGAGUGACGGUAAUGGGUAAAGAAGCACCGGCUAACUACGUG